rnacentral:rRNA from 1 species
UAUUGGACAAUGGGCGAAAGCCUGAUCCAGCAAUGCCGCGUGAGUGAUGAAGGCCUUAGGGUUGUAAAGCUCUUUUACCCGGGAUGAUAAUGACAGUACCGGGAGAAUAAGCUCCGGCUAACUCCGUGCCAGCAGCCGCGGUAAUACGGAGGGAGCUAGCGUUGUUCGGAAUUACUGGGCGUAAAGCGCACGUAGGCGGCUUUGUAAGUUAGAGGUGAAAGCCUGGAGCUCAACUCCAGAACUGCCUUUGAUACUGCAUGGCUUGAAUCCAAGAGAGGUGAGUGGAAUACCGAGUGUAGAGGUGAAAUUCGUAGAUAUUCGGAAGAACACCAGUGGCGAAGGCGGCUCACUGGCUUGGUAUUGACGCUGAGGUGCGAAAGCGUGGGGAGCAAACAG